CCUACGGGAGGCUGCAGUGAGGAAUAUUGGUCAAUGGACGAGAGUCUGAACCAGCCAAGUCGCGUGAAGGAUGACUGCCCUAUGGGUUGUAAACUUCUUUUAUAUGGGAAUAAAAUGUUCCACGUGUGGGAUUUUGUAUGUACCAUAUGAAUAAGGAUCGGCUAACUCCGUGCCAGCAGCCGCGGUAAUACGGAGGAUCCGAGCGUUAUCCGGAUUGAUUGGGUUUAAGGGGAGCGUAGGUGGAUUGUUAAGUCAGUUGUGAAAGUUUGCGGCUCAACCGUAAAAUUGCAGUUGAAACUGGCAGUCUUGAGUACAGUAGAGGUGGGCGGAAUUCGUGGUGUAGCGGUGAAAUGCUUAGAUAUCACGAAGAACUCCGAUUGCGAAGGCAGCUCACUGGACUGCAACUGACACUGAGGCUCGAAAGUGUGGGUAUCAAACAGGAUUAGAUACCCGUGUAGUC
rnacentral:rRNA from 1 species